UGGCGCAGUCAUAUCACCCUGCAGCCUAAGACCGGUUAAUCACUGAAGCUAAGCAGGGCUGAGCCUGGUCAGUACCUGGAUGGGAGACCUCUAGGGAACACCAGGGUGCUGUUGGAA
rnacentral:rRNA from 1 species